rnacentral:rRNA from 1 species
AUUGAACGCUGGCGGCAGGCCUAACACAUGCAAGUCGAGCGGAUGACGGGAGCUUGCUCCUUGAUUCAGCGGCGGACGGGUGAGUAAUGCCUAGGAAUCUGCCUGGUAGUGGGGGACAACGUUUCGAAAGGAACGCUAAUACCGCAUACGUCCUACGGGAGAAAGCAGGGGACCUUCGGGCCUUGCGCUAUCAGAUGAGCCUAGGUCGGAUUAGCUAGUUGGUGGGGUAAUGGCUCAACAAGGCGACGAUCCGUAAAUGGUCUGAGAGGAUGAUCAAUCAGACAGGAACGGAGACACGGUCCAGACUGCUACGGGAGGCAGCAGUGGGGAAUAUUGGACAAUGAGCGAAAGCUUGAUCCAGCCAUGCGGCGUGUGUGAAGAAGGUCUACGGAUUGUAAAGCACUUUAAGUUGGGAGGAAGGGCAGUAAGCUAAUACCUUGCUGUUUUAACGUUACCGACAGAAUAAGCACCGGCUAACUCUGUGCCAGCCGCCGCCGCAGUAA